CCCUUAGAUGUUCUGGGCCGCACGCGCGCUACACUGACGAAUGCAACGAGCUUAUAACCUUGGCCGAAAGGUCUGGGUAAUCUCCAAAUUUCGUCGUGAUGGGGAUAGAUUAUUGCAAUUAUUAAUCUUCAACGAGGAAUUCCUAGUAAACGCAAGUCAUCAGCUUGCAUUGAUUACGUCCCUGCCCUUUGUACACACCGCCCGUCGCACCUACCGAUUGAAUGGUCCGGUGAAAUCUUCGGAUCUGAGAGAUGUCUGAUUAAUUUCGGACGCCUUUUGGAAAAGUUGCUUAAACCUUACCAUUUAGAGGAAGGUGAAGUCGUANCA
rnacentral:rRNA from 1 species